ensembl:lncRNA
GAGGCUCGUGCUCCGGGUCUCGCGGACGGCCGCCUCGGGCGUCGGGUCCCGGAGAUUGGACAGACACCAGAGCCCGAGGACCGCGGAGUGGCCGGGUGGGGCUGGAGGGCGGCGCCGCGCCUUCUGGGGAGACACGGAGGUAUCAGGACCUGGGAUAUGCUCCUGAUUUUAUACAGACUGCCAUGGCUCCAGAUAUAAAAGACCAAAUAAAAAGAGAUCGGUAAGAGGGAGGGACCAAGAUGGCUGACCAGAAGCAGCUGCAGUUGGAGGCUCUCACCAAGAAGAAAGAAAAAGAGACAGCAGCUCCCUAUAUUGUACAGGCUGGCCUCAAGAGAUCUCCCACCUCGGCCACCCAAAUUAUUGGGAUUACAGGCAUGAGUCACAAUGCCUGGACUGUCAUUGAUUUUUGAAUAUUAAACUAAUCUUCAUGACUAGGAUGAAUCUCACUUGGUCAUGGAUUAAGAUCCAAACGUUGUUGAAAAAUGUUCAGAUCCUACAAAACACUGACAUGCCAGUUCCUCAGCUUUGAUGGAGAAACCAGCUUUCUCUUCUUGCAGAGAUACUCUUCAUGAAAAGUGGAGCUCCAAGAAGAAUAGACAUGAGGAAAAUACGUAUUUUUACAAAAGGAAAUGUAUGGUGCAAUUAUAAACUGUAGCAUGAACCCAUAAUUGGAAGUCUACGUCUCACAGUUAUAGUCAAUAAUUCUGGUACAUAUGAAAUAAGUUCUUUCAAAAUGGGAUUCAGGUAUUAUUUAGAAAUGCAUCUACUGAAAAGAAGCAUACCACAAAAAUUUAUGCUGAUUAUGGAUGAGAUCAUGGACAGUUUCAUCCAAAUUAUGAGCUGGAUUUGUCAGAUGUAGAGUCUCAAUCAGGUCACUUGAAAGACCAAAUGAUUUCCUUUUCAUCUGAAGGGUUCAGAGAGGCAGCUUUUGAAAAGGCGCUAUUGAAAUAUUCAAGGUAGCUGUUCUUAGCACAGCUUUGAUUUCUAAAACAACUAGAAGGACUGUAGAACUACAUGAGGGAAGAGAAGAGAAACUGAAGAAUUGUUUGAAAACAUAAAUAUUCUUUACUUAUAGUACCACUCCAUGCUUUGGGAAAAAAAAUUAUUUUAUGAAGUCAAGAAGUAAAUCAGAAGAAAACAGCAGGGAAAGUCAGCACAAACGGGUUUAUCUAAUACUUUCUCAGUGUCCAAUUUGCAAUGCACUGAGUUCCCUGCUUAACUAUGUCUAUACAAUGGGGGCAGGGAGAGGAGUAGGUUAAAAAUAAAUAUGAGUUGCAAGUCUUUCUCCUCAGGCUGCUAAUAUUAAUAUACCUGAAUUUUAUGUUUGUUGUUGUCUUCCUUGUCUCUAUAGUUUUUGCAACUAGUGUAUAUAUGUCUAAACAAUCUAUUGCUUAAAUUUACAUAAUUUUCAACUUUACAUAUGUAGAAUCAUGCUGUUUGUUUCCUUCCAUACCUCAGUUUUUUCACUAAAAAUUGUCUUCUGAAAAAACUUGGAGGUAUCAUAUUUCCUGAUUUAAAAUUAUAUUACAAUGUUAUAGUAAACAAAUCAGUAUAGUACUUACACAAAAACAAACACAGUGUAACAGAAUGGAGUGCAGAUAUAAAUUCAAACAUACACAGUAAGCUAAUUUUUGACAGAGACACCAAGAGGAUACAGUGGGAAAAGGAUAGGAUCUUCAAUAAAUAGUGCUGAGAAAAUUGAAUUUCCACACAUAUGCAAAAUUUAUAAAAUAUAAGGCCUAAAACUAUAAAAUUCCUUAAAGAGAACACAAAAAGCUCCUGGACAUUGGCCUUGGAAAUAAUUUUUUGAAUAUCCCACCAAAAAAUGAAAAAAAAAAAAAA